rnacentral:rRNA from 1 species
CAGUAGCCGCGGUAAUACGGAGGGUGCGAGCGUUAAUCGGAUUUACUGGGCGUAAAGCGUGCGUAGGCGGCUUCUUAAGUCGGAUGUGAAAUCCCUGAGCUUAACUUAGGAAUUGCAUUCGAUACUGGGAAGCUAGAGUAUGGGAGAGGAUGGUAGAAUUCCAGGUGUAGCGGUGAAAUGCGUAGAGAUCUGGAGGAAUACCGAUGGCGAAGGCAGCCAUCUGGCCUAAUACUGACGCUGAGGUACGAAAGCAUGGGGAGCAAACAGGAUUAGAUACCCGAGUAGUCCCUGUCUCUUAUAC